UAACGCGAAGAACCUUACCAGGUCUUGACAUACUAUGCAAAUCUAAGAGAUUACACGUUCCCUUCGGGGACAUGGAUACAGGUGGUGCAUGGUUAUCGUCAGCUCGUGUCGUGAGAUGUUGGGUUAAGUCCCGCAACGAGCGCAACCCUUAUUAUCAGUUGCCAGCAUUAAGUUGGGCACUCUGGUGAGACUGCCGGUGACAAACCGGAGGAAGGUGGGGAUGACGUCAAAUCAUCAUGCCCCUUAUGACCUGGGCUACACACGUGCUACAAUGGAUGGUACAACGAGUUGCGAACUCGCGAGAGUAAGCUAAUCUCUUAAAGCCAUUCUCAGUUCGGAUUGUAGGCUGCAACUCGCCUACAUGAAGUCGGAAUCGCUAGUAAUCGCGGAUCAGC
rnacentral:rRNA from 1 species